UACCUGAAACAGAGUCUAAGAUUUGCAGCGUAACCUUUUUUGGAUGUUUCUUCAACAAGUCCACUAUGAUUUUCACUCUUGCCGUACUAGGUCUCGUUCUGUCCUGCGUCGCCUUGUCGAUAGCAAGAGGUUUUCCAACUGCAGCAGCUAUAGACAUAACGACCUCUUAGCAAAAAGAUUUGGAGGUAAUCCUGGCAGCGAUAUCCACAGCAAGAGGUUUUCAAACUGCUGUAGCUAUAGACAUUAACGAUCUCUUAGCAAACAGAAUUGGAGGUAAUCCUGGCAGUGAUAUCCACACAACAGCCAUCGACGUCUCUUCCUUCGGAUUGA
rnacentral:lncRNA from 1 species